CUGUCGGCCGUACGAGUGAUUUAGUCUCGUGCGAAACGAAGAAGUGAUUGGAUAUCUGUGUGACGUGACGUUGACAUCAUCGUCGUUGUUUUGUGUGUGUGUGUGUGUGUGUGUGUGUGUUUGGUAAGAAUUGCUUUGAACGUUUUGAACAUUUCAAACUCGACACGAAUGCGCAUGUUUAAAGCGAUGGUAUGCAAAACAGUUGCCAGCAAAAUGGUGCACGGUAUACCGCUGAACGUCAUUUUGGUUUUAAACCUCGUGUAGGUAGGAGAAGAGCUAUACAGACAGCAACAAAAAAAAAAAAAAAACUUUACAAAGUGCACCUAACACAAGGAUAUUUAAUUCAAAGACACGUAAAAAACAGUUCAUUUGAACGGAAUUUAAUUACGGCUUUGAUCAUUCAAAAGGCUCUCCUGCCGUCAACCGUAAAGAAGGGCGCCGUGAAAUUGAAAUUAAAUUUCACAAAAAUCAAGGCGCAGCAAAACAACAGCAAAAAAAAAGGACUCAUCCACUCGAGAUAAGAAAACGCGAUGAUGAUAUUUUUGGCACACGAUGGACAUCCCAUGGACCGAUAUGCCGAUACAAGCACGAACGACUGUACUACGACAGAUCCCUCAGGCCUACCGGGGGAGAGCAUAUUUCGUCCCAAACAACUUCGGUUCGGAGGAAAAAUCAACGAACAUGCUGUACUGUCAUCUUCAUCGCUGCACAGCCCUCCCUGCCGGGAUUGACGAAAUGAUACCACUUUCUAAAGUGGUUGAAAGAGGAAAAUAAAACAUGCAAGCACUCAACACACACACACAACCCUCAUAAUGAUGAUUAUGAUGAUGAUGAUGGUCACGAUCGCGCUGACGAUCGCGCUUCAACCUGCCUGCACGCAAUAAAGAAAAAGGAUUGAAAAAUCCAUCGACAGCUCGGAAACACUUUGCACCGUGGAGAGGAUCGUGCGCGAACCGUAAAGUUUUCCACUGCCAAAAAAUAACUGGCCACCGGGGAAAAUGCGCCAAAAAGAUGAUUUUGGAACCCCUGUCCCCCCGCUCGGGUACGAGGCGGUAAGGUAAGAGAGGAAAGGGUCAACCCGGGGACCCGGGUUUAUCGUGUGGGGUUGAACCACCGGAUCAUCCAUCGUUAGGGGUCAUCGUCGUUGCGCUCGGCAAACACGGCCCCGGUGCAUCAUUAUCAGCAGCAGCAUGUCCGUUUCUUUCCACGAUCAUUCUUUCCUCCACCGCUUUUUAUUAUAUUUGGCACAGGCAGAGUGCGUCGGGGAAUAAAAGGAAAAGCCAUCCACUGAAGAAGAGCCGAUUUUUGGGCCGCUGAAGCUGAAGCUGAAUCGAGCUGUACUUGAUGGCACUGUACUAAUGGAACCUGUGCAGGUCGUGAAACCCUAAGAGCAAUCGGCCAUUGAGAGAGCCUUCUCGUUGCUGCAGUUCACCCGUUGGUUGGAUUGGAAGAUUCAAUUAGGCAGCUCCUCCUGCACGUAAUGUAACGCGUUUAGGUCGACGCCACUGUCCUCGAAGAGCGGAGCGUGUCCCGUGGGAGCUGGCCUUUGAACACAGAAAACGUUUCCGAGGCGACGGCGGCGAGAGUCUGCUAAUUGUUGGGGUUUGUUAAAAGCUUUUGAAUUGUGAGUGAGUGAGAGAGUGAGUGGAAAAUUUAAAACAAUCACGUUUAAACAGUCGAGGCUGAUGGAGGAAGGC